rnacentral:rRNA from 1 species
AUUGAACGCUAGCGGGAUGCCUUACACAUGCAAGUCGAACGGAGUGGCGAACGGGUGAGUAAUGUAUCGGAACGUGCCCAGUAGCGGGGGAUAACUACCCGCAAGCGUAGCUAAUACCGCAUACUAUUGGAGCGGCCGAUAUCGGAUUGGCUAGUUGGUGGGGUAACGGCUCACCAAGGCGACGAUCCGUAGCUGGUUUGAGAGGAGGACCAGCCAAACUGGGACUGAGACACGGCCCAGACCCUGACGGGAGGCAGAAGUGGGGAAUUUUGGACAAUGGGGGAAACCCGAAGCCAGCCAGCCCGCGGGUGGGAUGAAGGCCUGCGGGUGGUAAAGCACGUUUGGCAGGAAAGCGGUACCUGCAGAAUAAGCACCGGCUAACUACGUGCCAGCCGCCGCGGUAAUAC